UACGUAGGGUCCAAGCGUUGUCCGGAAUUACUGGGCGUAAAGAGCUCGUAGGUGGUUUGUCGCGUUGUUCGUGAAAACUCACAGCUCAACUGUGGGCGUGCGGGCGAUACGGGCAGACUAGAGUACUGCAGGGGAGACUGGAAUUCCUGGUGUAGCGGUGGAAUGCGCAGAUAUCAGGAGGAACACCGGUGGCGAAGGCGGGUCUCUGGGCAGUAACUGACGCUGAGGAGCGAAAGCGUGGGGAGCAAACAGG
rnacentral:rRNA from 1 species